AGGAUUUUAUCAGGGAAGGGGGCUUUGUAUCUCAGCAAAUCCUUAAUUGUGAUGAGACCAAAAAAGAUGCAACAGUGGACCUUUAUUACAGCGAAGGAGAAGACUCUAUCGAGACACAAGCCCGAUGCAGGAUCGCCUCACACAGCGAGUUUGUGCUAACGCUAGCCGUCACUAUGUGAACCCACUGCUUGUGUAUCACUCCUAAACUCCCAUAGUGUUCAACAAUGCCACAAAUAUACCCAGACACAAGACUCUAUUGCUUGGACUCCACAUGACGAGCCUGGUUGAGUGACAUGAGUGGGUGAAUGAGUUCACAAUGUGUGUGUGUACAUGCAUGUGUUGAGAGGGAAUGUGUGUGUGUGUGUGUAUGUGUGUGUGUGUGUGUGUGUGUGUGUGUGUGUGUGUGUGUGUGUGUGUGUGUGUCAGAGAGAGAGAGUUAGGAAGGGGAGUAAGGCGGUAAAGAUAGACGGGACAACCUGGUUUGACUGACCACAAAAGCAUUCUCCCUGCGGCCCUCAAGACCCGCAGCUGAUCACAGCACAUGGGUCGCGGGGGGCGCUGGAGCCUAUCUCAGCUACAAUCGGGCGGAAGGCGGGCUACACCUUGGACAAGUCGCCAUCUCAUCACAGGGCAGUGGUCCCCAACUUUUUAGUAACUGUGAACCCGAUCAACGCUUGAAAAUUUGUCCCACGGACCGGGGGGGUUUGGGGUCAUAAAAAAAUACAGUCAUGUGUGCUUACGGACUGUAUUCCUGCAGACUGUAUUGAUCUAUUGAUAUAUAAAGUAGGAACCAGAAUAUUAAUAACAGAAAGAAACAACCCUUUUGUGCGAAUGAGUGUGAAUGAGUAUAAAUGGGGGAGGGAGUUUUUUUGGGUUGAAGAGUAAGGUGUAUCUUGUGUUUUUUAUGUUGAUUUAAUAAAACAAAAAAUUAAAAAAUGUUUUUUAAUUUCUUGUGCGGCUCGGUGCCAAUCGAUCUAUGGACCGGUACCGGGCCGUGGCCCGGUGGUUGGCGACCACUGGUUUAGGGGACGAGACAGAGAAUAUAUAUUAUUAUAUAUAAUUACAAAAGUCCCUUGGUAGGCCCCCAAAAUGACUUAAUAUUAGAUAUUGUUUGCACAGUCUCCCCACCCCACCACUCCAAUUUGCAACAUAUUACAUCACCUAAAGAUGCUUUGAAAUGGCUCCAAGUGACUUUCUUGACUUGUUCAAGUCAAUGAUUCGUUUUUUCAGAUCUGUGCUGACUUCCUUUGACUUUCCCAUUGUUGCGUUUGUAACCGAGUCUAAUGACCGCAUCACAUGAGCCCUAUUUAAAUGGGCUCAGAGAAGUCAACACAAUCAUAAUCACUCACAUGAAGUUAAGAGGCCAUGCCAUGAAGCUAAUUUGAUUUGAUUGUAACUUUUCUACAUCACCAACAUUGAUCAUGUACUGUAUGUUGCUGUAUGUAUACUUUUGAC